GCUCGCUUCAGCAGCAUAUACUAAAAUUGGAACAAUGCAGAGAAGAUUACAUAGCCCUUGUGCAAGGAUGACAUGCAAAUUUGUGAACUGUUCCAUAUUUAG